UUUUUUUUUUUUUUUUUUUGUCUUUUUGCAAUUUCUUUGGGCCGCUCCCGCGGCAUAUGGAGGUUCCCAGGCUAGGGGUCGAAUUGGAGCUGUAGCCACUAGCCUACGCCAGAGCCACAGCAACGCGGGAUCCGAGCCGCGUCUGCAACCUACACCACAGGUCAUGGCAACGCCGGAUCGUUAACCCACUGAGCAAGGGCAGGGACCGAACCCGCAACCUCAUGGUUCCUAGUCAGAUUCGUUAACCACUGCGCCACGACGGGAACUCCUAAUAAAUAAGUUCUAAUGCCAUAUGUUAUUCAAAUUACAUAUAUCCUUGAUCCAGUCGGUCAAAUUUAAUCCGUGUUAGGAACUCUCCUCAUUCAUAAUUUUUCAGCACAGUCAAUUCUCAAAGUCUAAAUGAAAAAAGCAUCCUCAUCGUGGCUUAAGAACAACUGCAUCAUACUUGUCCUUAUACCCAACCUUGACUAAUUCUCACAUGUAUUUCAGAAAUAUGAAUAACAUCUUCAUGCAAUUCAUAUAAGGCAGAGAAAAAGAGGUAUCAUUAUUUCUGUCUUAAUGACAGAUUUUGAGGUUAAGGUGACUCAUGAACAGCUGAGCAGCCAGUCAGUGGGAGAAACCAAAAUAGAAAUAGAACGGAAACGCCUCCACCGCGCCCCCCACUCCCCCACCCGGCUCGCUAGCGCUCCGAGCUGCAGGGCAGCCGCCCGGGGGAUGGAGCGUGAUGCCCGCGGAGUGAAUCGGCAGCGCUUCCUGCGAGGAAACGAGCUGCGCCAGGAAGAGUCCGUGGGGAUCAGUGAGCACGACUCCCUCUCCACCUAGCAGAUAAAAACGGAAGGCGAGAACUCAGAAAAGCAAGCCUCUAAAACACGGAGCUCGUUUUACUGGGAGGAGGAUGAUUCAUUCACCUUUCACUGAGUAAUUUUCAAAAUCACCAGCCAAGUCACCUAAACUAAAUAAUUUUGACGUCCCAAAGAAUGUAACUACCCCAUAUGUUUUAGAUGGACCCUGUCCAGCCGCUUUUACCUCCGCGGGUGGCGGGGGGUGGCGUGGGGGAGGGCGGAUAUCUUUUUCAGCGGGUUUCUGAUUCUCUUUACCUACGCAAGAACAGAGUAGGAAGGCACGCUGUCAUCACAGAUCUCUAUACUUAAAUUACUUAAAAAAAUAAUCAACAAUGGACUAGAGCAGGUGUCAGUCUUUGACUUGCAAAGAAAUUAUUCUUGGACUUCGUAAGGAGCUUAAAGGUCAUUUUUAAAACGUAUUUAAGUAUAUAUAUACAUAUGUAUUAACACCCCCCCCCCAAAACGGCCCUGAGUGGAUGAAUUUAAAAUGACGUCUGUGAUGUGUUUGAUAAAGUUAAGAUGCACCUCUCCGUCCUCCAUCCAGUUCAAAUAAUCAUGUUGUCCAAUGCAAAUAUGAGUUUCCAGUAAGCGAAGUCAUUCCUUUUCCUACAGCUCUGAAGCUAGAGGCCUGCACGUCUAUCUCACUGAGGCUGCUUUCAUAAUUCCAGUGGGCUGGGUUCGAAGAGAAAUUUUAAAACUGUUUUCCUCUUAACCAAGUUUUUUUUUUUUUUUUUUUUUUUUUUUUUUUUNUUUUUUUUGCCACAGUACUAUAGCUUACAGCAACCCACGCCUCACAAGGAGAAAAAGGUAAUUACUAAAACCUUUGCUUAAUUCACCAGAAAAGUUCUAAGACUGUUAGAACUUUAUUGUUUAAUUGCCUCCCACAGCCUCACUUCAUCGACCCCACUUGAUCGAUUUUUUUCCUCUGCUGUGUGCUAGUGCCUGUGGUUCUCUUCCUUAUCAUGAAUUUUGAAGCUGAAGUUAAACUUCUAGAAUUUAUGUCCUCCAGUGUCCAACUAUCCCACCUCCUCUGAAGAAUAAGCAUGAGUACAAAGCAGUUUAGCCACUGGAUGUGAGGAGAGGCGCUUGUGAAUGAGAUCAACACUUGUAGAAUGUAAGCCAGACCCGUUAAACUCGAACGUGGCCAUAAAGAACCGCCUGAGUCUGAUAGAAGGGAUGUCAGCCAAAACAGAAGGUUCUUGUGGUGAGACGGGCUGAU
rnacentral:lncRNA from 1 species